AGUGAACGCUGGCGGUAGGCCUAACACAUGCAAGUCGAACGGCAGCACAGUAAUAGCUUGCUCUUACGGGUGGCGAGUGGCGGACGGGUGAGGAAUACAUCGUAAUCUACUUUUUCGUGGGGGAUAACGUAGGGAAACUUACGCUCAUACCGCAUACGCCCUACGGGUGAAAGCAGGGGAUCUUCGGACCUUGCGCGAUUGAAUGAGCCGCUGUCGGAUUAGCUAGUUGGCGGGGUAAAGGCCCACCAAGGCGACGAUCCGUAGCUGGUCUGAGAGGAUGGUCAGCCACACUGGAACUGAGACACGGUCCAGACUCCUACGGGAGGCAGCAGUGGGGAAUAUUGGACAAUGGGCGCAAGCCUGAUCCAGCCAUACCGCGUGGGUGAAGAAGGCCUUCGGGUUGUAAAGCCCUUUUGUUGGGAAAGAAAAGCAGCAGGUUAAGACCCCGCUGUUCUGACGGUACCCAAAGAAUAAGCACCGGCUAACUUCGUG
rnacentral:rRNA from 1 species